AUCGCUUCUCUGCCUUUUGGCUAAGAUCAAGUGUAGUAUCUGUUCUUAUCAGUAGGGUGCUAGUAGCCUAGCGGGUAACACACUCGCCUAUUGAACCAGAAGACCCAGGUUCAAACCCCAC
ensembl:snRNA U2 U2 spliceosomal RNA